AUGCCUUUAAAUAUUAUCAUUCCUUGUCUUCUUUUUGCUCUUGCACAUGUUUGUUCGUUUCGGAAGCACCUGUCCUCUGCAAAGAGUAACUUUGCUAGUUACUCCUCACCUGCUGUGACUGGUGCUUUGGUUGGAAAAACAUGUGCAGGUUUCUUGAAAGCUGGUUGCCGUUGGAACCUGGAACAUGUUUGGGAGGGGACAGGCCAUGCUAACUUUAAAAGCUGCUUUGUGUGUAGAAGAGGAUGGCUACAGUACAAUGGACAUAGCAAGUUUGUUCCAGGGAUCCGGAUCUUUCUAAGUACUGUCCGUGCUAGAUCGUUUUUCUAG
rnacentral:rRNA from 1 species